rnacentral:rRNA from 1 species
UACGGAGGGUGCAAACGUUGGUCGGAAUCAUUGGGCGUAAAGCGCACGUAGGCGGCCUGUUAAGUCGGGGGUGAAAGCCCUGGGCUCAACCCAGGAAGUGCACUCGAAACUGGCGGGCUUGAAUAUGGAAGAGGGUCGCGGAAUUCCCGGUGUAGAGGUGAAAUUCGUAGAUAUCGGGAGGAACACCAGUGGCGAAGGCGGCGACCUGGGCCAAUAUUGACGCUGAGGUGCGAAAGCGUGGGGAGCAAACAGG